ensembl:lncRNA
GUGCUGUGCUUUAUUCAAAAUGCUUGUUCUCUGUAUCAGGCAUCCAAAGGGCAAACAGAAUAGAAUGCAGAGACGCAGAAGUGGAGAGGCCAGGAGAGAUGGAGAGGAGAAAAGCUUUAUAUGUGUGAAGGAUGCACGUGGUUUGUGAUUUUCUGUUUCGGAGGCAGCAGAUUGAAUUGUUUUACAUCCCAGGGAUUUCAUAGUCUGGGACAACAGAUUUGAGCCCAGAUCUAGCCACAGAGAAACCCUUCUCAAUGUUUCUUCUUAAGCAUAUGGACAAGCUUUUGGAUAGCAGCUGUAUGCCUUCACUGACUCUUCAUAACUUCAGUGUUGAGAUGGAUGAAGUCUCCUACAGACUCCGCAAGUCUCCCCAGAGAGCCCAAGAGGGUGUCUUUCUCAUAAUCCACCAUCACUAUGCUCCGACUGGGCACCCCGGCACACCUUCCUUUCCACCUGGGCUCCAAACUCGGCAGAGAGAGCAGACCCAUGUACUCACAGCCCUCACCGUGCACUCACAAAGGCUCCUGGCAGUGUUCUCCAGGCCCUUGAUCUUCAGAGAAAACUCACCUGCUGUCUGGGGCAGGGCAGUGGUGAUAAACCCUUGGCUGUCUCUCGUCCAUCACAGCUGCAGCCGGAUUUCCCUCGUGAUGUGGCUCCUUCACUGUCCACAUGUCUCCAGAACUGGGGCAGCCUCUAUCCUUGUGACUGCCCUGAUGAAGCCUGGGUUCUAUGGAAGCAGUGUUAGGGGCUGUGGGGGUCAGCGACUUCACAAUUUCUCAACAUAGGGGUCUUCUCGCCAAGUUUUCUGGAGGAAAGCCCCCAGCUUUCCACUAAAGAAUUCGUAGGAGGAGAACUCCCUGGCAGUCAAGUGGUUAGGACUCUGCACUUCUACUGAAAGGGGCAUGGGCGGGUUCAAUCCCGGUAGGGGAACUAAGAUCCUGCAUGCUGCACGCUGUAGCCAAAAAUUAAAUAAAUAAAUAAAACCCUUAAAAAACCAAUUCAUAGGAAAACUCCCCUCCAAGCCAUCCCAUCAUUUUGGUCCAUUUAAAUUCUUAACCCAGUAGUAGGUGGAGGGAUGGCCCAGCCCAGCAUCUGUGUCAUGGCAGGGACCAUCUCUAAGUAAAGCUUUGGAAUGCCCAGGCAGGACGAGUGUCUGUCCCUGCGCCAUCUAAGGAAGGACGCCUGGUUGCUGUGUCCCUGCUUUUCCUGCUUGGCCUUCAGUAUCUCAUGUGGCCCUUUACUUGGGGUCUGCACUGGAAGGAUGAGAAUUAAGAAGGGUUUUUCAGACCAAUGCCAUCACUAUUGUCAGUCAUUUAGCUAAGAGUGAUUUAGGUGCAAGUAUCCUAGCCUGGGUCCAUUGAUGGAGUUUAGACCUAGGAUCAUCUCACCUACAGCUUAUCCCUCCCCCUGUCUGGGUCUCAGUUUUCUCCCCAAGGAGGGACUGGGCUAAAUUAGCUUUUCAAAAAAUAUGGACUCAUAUUUUCGGAAGCAUCCUCAGUGAGAGAAGUCUAGGAAAUUCUGGGUUAAAUAAAGUUUGAAACUCCCUUUACUGUCUAACUCCCAGGGCUUCAAUUUUCAAUAAAAAGCAUUUAAAAAUUAAAAAGAGAGGUAUGUAAAAAGUUAUAUUUCCCAAACUGUAUAUCAUCCAACUCCCUUUGUUUUUUUGGCACAUAUCAUGGGACAAGUGUUCUGCUGAAUAUACUUCACAGCAGCAGAAGGCUAAAUUGUUUCCCAAGCCCUGCACCCAAUCUGUAGAGUUCCCUUUUUCUCCCUGUAUAAUUUUCCCUCUUGAUUAGAAAACAUACUGAAUGUUUAGCUCUAUAGGCAAUGCCAUAAAGGCUAAACAGGAACAAAAAAGAAAGAAAUAUAUUCAGAUUGUUAAAUCCAAGCUCCUCUUUGAGAUCUGUAUUUUAGAUAGCAGUAAUGAGAAUGAAUAGGGAUUUAUUAAGCAUCUAUUUAAUGUACUAGAUACUGUGCUAAAAUGCUUUGAUUGGAUUAUCUAAUUUAAUUCUCACAGGAACCUUAUGAGAUGUCUAUCAUUUUUACUCCCUAUUUUCAGAUGAGGAAAUGGUGGUUCAAAGAGGCUUGAUAAAUAGCAUAAGGCCACCCAAUUACGAAGAGGCAGUGGCAAGGCCUCAACUUACUGCAGUCUCUUUCUAAGAAUUGUAAAUAACCAACUUAUUAAGUCUCCUUAUUUUGUACCCCAAGCCAGCAAGCUGCCACAACAAACCAGAAAUAAACUAAUUGCAAUGGUAAUUACCUUCCAUCUAAAAUUCUUGAGUUAGUGUGAAAUAAUGUUGAAUCAUCAGUCUCUCAUGUAUACUGAAAACAGAUAUCUCUAACAACUAAAUG